GGUUGGUUGGCGCAAUGGUAGCGCGUGGCCCUCCUAUAGUAAUGCAGCCUCAAAACUGCAGAACUUCAAAGGCCAAGGCUGUGGGUUCGAGUCCCACAUCGAUCG